rnacentral:rRNA from 1 species
AUUGAACGCUGGCGGCAGGCUUAACACAUGCAAGUCGAGCGGGGGAAGGUAGCUUGCUACUGGACCUAGCGGCGGACGGGUGAGUAAUGCUUAGGAAUCUGCCUAUUAGUGGGGGACAACAUCUCGAAAGGGAUGCUAAUACCGCAUACGUCCUACGGGAGAAAGCAGGGGAUCUUCGGACCUUGCGCUAAUAGAUGAGCCCAAGUCGGAUUAGCUAGUUGGGGGGGUAAAGGCCUACCAAGGCGACGAUCUGUAGCGGGUCUGAGAGGAUGGUCCGCCACACUGGGACUGAGACACGGCCCAGACUCCUACGGGAGGCAGCAGUGGGGAAUAUUGGACAAUGGGGGAAACCCUGAUCCAGCCAUGCCGCGUGUGUGAAGAAGGCCUUAUGGUUGUAAAGCACUUUAAGCGAGGAGGAGGCUACUCUAGUUAAUACUAGGGAUAGUGGACGUUACUCGCAGAAUAAGCACCGGCUAACUCUGUGCCAGCCGCCGCGGUAA